GAUGAACGCUGGCGGCGUGCCUAAUACAUGCAAGUCGAGCGAACGGACGAGAAGCUUGCUUCUCUGAUGUUAGCGGCGGACGGGUGAGUAACACGUGGAUAACCUACCUAUAAGACUGGGAUAAAUUCGGGAAACCGGAGCUAAUACCGGAUAAUAUUUUGAACCGCAUGGUUCAAAAGUGAAAGACGGUCUUGCUGUCACUUAUAGAUGAAUCCGCGCUGCAUUAGCUAGUUGGUAAGGUAACGGCUUACCAAGGCAACGAUGCAUAGCCGACCUGAGAGGGUGAUCGGCCACACUGGAACUGAGACACGGUCCAGACUCCUACGGGAGGCAGCAGUAGGGAAUCUUCCGCAAUGGGCGAAAGCCUGACGGAGCAACGCCGCGUGAGUGAUGAAGGUCUUCGGAUCGUAAAACUCUGUUAUUAGGGAAGAACAUAUGUGUAAGUAACUGUGCACAUCUUGACGGUACCUAAUCAGAAAGCCACGGCUAACUACGUG
rnacentral:rRNA from 1 species